AAAGUAGUAAAUAAUUUUAAUGAGUAGUAAAAGUUAUUGUCUCUAAACUUAAAAAUUUUGGCGGUUCUUUAAUCUAUUCAGAGGAAUUUGUUGCGUAAUCGAUAGUCCUCGUUUUAUCUUACUUUAAUUUGUAUUCAGUUUAUAUACCGUCGUUAUAAGAAUUUUUUAUGAGGAUUAAAAUUUUCUAAAUUUAUAAGUAUAAUUUAUAUCAGAUAAAGGUGUAGCUUAUGUUAAAGGGUUAAUGAAUUACAAUAAAAUAAUUUAAACGGAUUUAAAUGUGAAAUUUUUAAUGAAGGUGGAUUUGAUAAUAAGUUUAAUUAGAGAGUUAAGUUGAUUUAAGUUCUAGAGGAUGUAC
rnacentral:rRNA from 1 species